AGUGAAAUAGCAGUUCAUAUAUGAUCACUGAAGUUAAGAAACAUCAAACCUGGUCAGUACUUAGAUGGGUGACCUCUUGGGAAUGCCAGGUGCUGUAAG